UGUCCGAUGGUGUAACUGGCAACACGUCUGAUUUUGGUUCAGAAGAGUCCAGGUUCGAAACCUGGUCGGACAACGA
rnacentral:tRNA from 2 species